AUGGGGGACAGUUCACAGAUUGUUCUCACUCAGUCAGGCCCAGAAGUGAAAAAGCCUGGAGAAUCCACCAGGCUAAGCUGUUCCAUAAGUGGAUUUGAUCUGAGCGCUGCUUACAUGACCUGGAUCCGGCAGUCUCCAGGGAAAGGGCUGGAGUGGCUCCUUUACUAUUACUCAUCAUCUACCAAUCGCUACUUUCCAACCAUCCAAGGGCGAUUCUCUGCCUUCAAGGACAGCUCCAACGUAUAUCUGCAAAUGAACAACCUGAAGCAAGAAGACACGGCUGCCUAUUACUGUGCCAGAGACAUGCAGAGAUGA